ACGCUUGAAACCCGCCGUGGUUUCCCCUAUCUCAGGUAUGUCCUUCGGGACUAUGGCAAUAAACGCGCUCGUAAUAAGCGGAUCGGACCCGGGGGCGGUACCCGGCGGCUCCACCAAUCAUCCUUCAUUUGGGGAUCAUGGGGCCGAAAUAGGAUCGACGGACGUCUAAAGGGGUUAGCUUUUGCUCGGUGAGGAACCACCGUUACCGGUCCGAUUAAGCUAGUUGCAAAUGACAACAAAGCUCCGGUUGCUCUGGCUGCUUAAGCAGUCCGAAAGACCGAAAUUUAAGCCCUGACGCUUUGCAGCCUCAGGCGGGGUUCGCAGGCACCUGGCAACAGAAGCCUGUAUU
rnacentral:tmRNA from 1 species